UAUAAAGUAUGCUAAGAGCGUCUUCACGAUUCCAGACUUUUCUGGUCUGUCCAUGUAGCUGGGUCCUCAGUUCAUGGCUUGGAGAAGAAGGCGCCAUCUGCCUCAUGCUGGAGGCUGGAGCCUGGAGCCUGGAGCCUGUUGGACUGUAGCUGGCCUCGCUGGCUCCUCUCACUGGCUUGCCUCGCUGGCACAACCGACACUGCACCCGGCUGGAGUGUGGAAAGGCAACGGGUGUGAUGUGCCUGGUCCCCCUUUGCCUUCUGCCAUGAUUGUAAGCUUCCAGAAGCCUCCCUAAACGACAAGCAAAUGCCAGCACCAUGCUUCCUGUAAAGCCUGCAGAACUGUGAGUCAAUUAAACUUUUUUUAUACAUUACCCACUCUGAGGUAUUUAUUUAUAGCUAGCAAAAGUGGCCUAAUACACCCUGCCUUUAAAAAAAAGUGAAAAGAAAUAGCCUGCAUAGUGACAUGUGCCUGUGGUCCCAACUGCUUGGAGGCUGAGGCAGGAGGAUCACUUGAGCCCAGGAGGUUGAGGCUGCAGUGAGCUAUGACUGCACCACUCCAGCCUGGGUGACAGAAUGAGACCUAGUAUUGAGGGAAAAAAAUACAUGAAUAAUCAUGUUACAGAAUGUUGGUAGAAAUAUGGAUGACAAAGGCCAUUCUGAUGAGGUCUCCUGUGGAAAUGAACUUGUUAAGGGACAGUGGAGAAAAGGCAGUCCUUAUUACAAAGUGGCAAAUAACUUGGCAGAAUUGUGCCUGUGUUCUAGUGUUUUGUGGAGGAUAGGACUUGUAAGUGAUAAAAUUGGAUAUUUAGCUGAGGAGAUUUCUAAGCAAAGUGUUGAAGGAGCAAUUUGGUUUCUCCUGACUGCUGAUAGUAAAAUGCAAGAAAUGACAAAUGAAUUGAAGAUGGAAUUGUUAAGAAACCAAAAUUUAAAGAUUUAGAAAGUUUUCAGCUUGCCUGUAUCACAAAAAAUGAGAAAGCAUGUAUAGAAGAGAAGGCUAAGGGUGUGGUGGACUGGCCAUCUGGUAAAAUUAGUGUGUGUGUGAACCACAGACCUAAUCAGCAACCCCAGCAGAAACACUGCCAGUCUGACAUAAAGGGAUGGGGUUGGCACAGGAUGAAGGAAGGCUAUCUUUUUAGAUCUUACAGGACUGGAUCAGAGAGCUCUUAGGCUGCAAAUAUGCACUAUUCUUCAGAUCUCAAAGGUGAUUCAGAGAUCAGCAGAGCUGCCACUCCCACCACAACCCCAUGCACAGGCUCCAAAGGCAAGGCUCCCUCCAGCUUGGAUGGAAAGAGUGAGACCAGAGGCCAGCAAAGCCCUGUAGGUGGAACCAUCAGCUUGGUUCCUAUAAGUGGGUGCUGGCUACUUUGAGCCCCAGGGUGGGGCAGAUGCCACCAGGCAGAGCCCCCCGAAGCCACUCCUGCCCAGCAGUCACAGGUGUGUACCCCAUGACCAGCAGAGCUGCAGAUGUGGGCCCACUGAUCCAGUGGGUCCAGAGGGCAGAGCACAGAGCCAAAGAGAAACAUUCUUGAACCCUAGGGUUAAAUGGAAUUUGCAGAGCCUACUUAGUCCUGAGCCUGGCAAGUGUGUUUGUUCUGUCCUUUUUCAGUGGUGAUCUCUGAUGCACAUAUGCUCCACCAGAUCCUCAGUCAGGCCAGGAAGUAUCUGAGCUUGAGUCCCUCUUUUAUUUGCUGGAGCUGCAGGUACAGAGCAGCACGGUCUAUCUUGCACCCAGCAUUGUUCAAUCCAAAUGUCAGUUGGGACAGGAGGAAUAACCCAGAGCCCUGGAAGAAACUGGGUCCCACUGAUCAGUACAAGCUCUGCUUAGUGAAUAUGGAUUCCAGCAAACUGAAAACAGAAGGCCCAAACUUCUAGAAGAAAUGUUUCACCAUAAAGCUAUUAAGACUGGAAGACUUUCAGAAGCUAUCUGCACAAUUUCCCCCUUACCCAGGAAAUACUGUUCUUCCAAAUGCUUGAAAUCACAUUGAUUAUUGUGUUGAGGAUUACACUGAUUAAAAAUAUCUGAAAGUUGGGAGGAAAUAAGAUCUAAUGGAAUUUACCUUGCCUAGGUUUUGAACUUGCUUGGGUUCCCCCAUUCAUUCCUUCUUUCCUGUUUCUGCCUUCGGAAUGGGAAUGUCUAUUAUAUUCCUGUCUCACUGUCAGAGGGGUUUGAACCAGAGUGACUCCAUUUUGAAUAAAGGCUGGGCAAAAUGAGGUUGAGAACUGCUGGACAUCAUUCCCAGAAAGUUAGGCUUCUUUAAUCACAGGAGGUUUAUGAUUAAGGGAAGAGGUUAAUAAUAUUUACUGAACAGACCCAGGUCUAAACAGAUCCAUGACUUAAAAGACCCAGGAAAUAUCUUAAGAACAAUUAGUUUAAAAAUUGGUUUCUCAGAUAUAGGUGAAGGGGAGGAAGGCAGCAAAUCACACUGCCAUGUGUGUACCUAUGCAACAAUCUUGCAUGUUCUUCACAUGUACCCCAAAACCUAAAAUGCAAUUUUAAAAAAUUGGUUUAUCUUUAAGGAUAAUAUAGAUUCUCACGGAAGAGAGUAGUUAGACAAAGAUUAGCCAUCCUCUUUCACAGCCCUUCUAGUAACUACAGCACAUCUGCUUCAUGGCUUUUCACUUUGUUAUACAUAAACAGGCACUGUCACUAAGAUGGGCGCAUUCCUACUCUUGCUUUUGGGAACACCCUGCUCUGUCUAUGGAGUAACCAUUCUUUUAUUCCUUUAAUUUCUUAAUAAACUACUGUCACUUUAUUCUGUGAACUCAUCCAAAUUCUUUCUUGCAUGAGGUCCAAGAACUCUCUCUUGGAGUCUGGAUCAGGACCCCAGGAGCCUUUUCUGAUAAUAAUUCUAUUGUAUUUUGGAAGUAUAUAACUUGCUUGGUUUCACAAGAUCACAGCUGGAGAAUUUUUCCUGGGAAUGACUCAUACCUUGAGUCUCACCCAUAGGUGAUUUAGAUAUUUAUCUUUUAUUUUCAUUUUUUGGAGACAGGGUCUCACUCUGUUGCUCAGGCUGGAGUGCAGUGGCACAAUCUUUGCUUACUGUAGCCUUCACCUCCUGGCUCAAGUGAUCUGCUCACCUCACCUGGGACUACAGGCCUUAUUAAAAACGAGUAGUUUAGAUAGUUCCUCUUUAAAGAGUUUCACUUUGUUACAAACAAGGUGUUCUUCCCCAAGAGGUGUUUACUUCCUUGUACUGUCUGUCUUGAAGUCUUAUUAACCUGUUCUUUGCCUAAAGUAAUCUUGCCUGCCAAUCUAUCAGCCCCUCCUGCCCUGCUGUGCUCAGGCAUGCCCUCCAAGAAAUCACUCCCUCCUUCCUUUAACUGCUUUCCCAGCAGAGACACUGAUCUUCCUGCCUUCCCACUGUUGUAACCACAUUCCUGCACUUUUGAAGUUAGCCAACCAGGUUCAGCUUAGAUUGUGCAGUCCAACUCCAGCCAAUGGAGGCAGGACACAGUAAUGGGACAAGCUGCAUUAGAAAUAAUAAAAACCCCUGCUUUCCUUUGUUCUGGGUGCUUUCCACAUUGCUCCAUAUGCGAGACACACCCUCCUGCAGGAGUAAAUUUGCCUUGCUGAGAAAAUUUGUGUUUGAGUGCUAUUUCUUUUGUGGCACUGAAAAUUUAUUUCUAACAGGCCUGCACCACUACUUCUGGCUAAUUUUUUUAAAUGUUUGUAGAGAUGGAGUUUUGCCAUGUUGUCCAGGCUCAUCUGGAACUCCUGAGAUUAAAUGAUUCUCCCAUCUCUGCCUCCCUAAGUGCUGAGAUUACAGGUGUGAGCCACCAUACCCAGCCUAGAUGAUAUUUAGAUGAGACUUUGGACUUUAGAUUUUAGAGUUGAUGCUGGAAUGAGUUAAGACUUUUGGGGUUAUAGGACUCCCUCCUCCCCCACAUCUAUAUCUCUCUCCAUGCAUGCACCGAGGGAAGGCCAGAUGAGGACAGGGCCAGGAAGAGUGCCCUCACCAAGAACCUGCCCAUGCCAGGCCCCUGCAGCUUUCCAGAACGGUGAUAAAUCAAUGUUUGUGGUUUAUGUCAUCACCUAUGGUAAUUUGUUUGUUUAUUUAUUUAUUUUUGAAACAGACUCUCACUCUGUUGCCCAGGUGUAGUGCAGUGAUGCAAUCUCGGCUUACUGUGACCUCUGCCACCUGGGUUCAAGCAAUUCUCUGCCUCAGCCUCCCAAGUAGCUGGGAUUACAAGUACCUGCCACCACACCCACCUAAAUUUUUUAUGUUUUUAGUAGAGACAGGGUUUUACCAUCUUGGCUGGGCUGGUCUUGAACUCCUGACCUUGUGAUCCACCAGCCUGGGCUUCCCAAAGUGCUGAGACUACAGGCAUGAGCCACUUCACCCAGCCUGACCCAUGGUAAUUUGUUAGAUCAGCCCAAAGUGACUAAGACACUUCUCCUAGGUCCCAAUAGUUAUUUGUUUAGGAUGAAAGUUCUCUAAAAAUCCUUUCAAAUGCAAAAGCUUUUCCAAACCAAAGGAUCUUUCCAGAGGUACACCUUUUGUAAAUAUGUAAUGUGACUUAAAUUACAUUUGUAAUGUAAUUUAAUUACAUAAUGCAACUUAAAUUACAUAAUGCAACUUAACCUCAGGAUGUAAUGUAAAUGUAAAUGUGACUUAAAACCAAUAAACCUGUUUAUGGCUGAACCAUGGAAACCCCAGGUGUCCCCAUAAAAGGUGCAGAAGCUGCAGCCCCCAUGGGCCAGAGUCACCUCCCAAAGAUAGCCAGAGAGAAAGAAGCACAGACCCUCGUCACAGGCAGUACAGUGUUUCUGGAAAUUUGGGUCUCUGGUCUCCCACAAACAUGAGCCACUCCAGUUCCACAAACCUGCUAAUCCAUAUACGAGGCCGGUGAUACUGAGGUGGGACUUUCCUACUCAAGGCAAUGAGAGGACAGAGAACAGGGGUCCCUUAUGGGCUGUGAGAGACCUUAUUGAGACAAAGUUCCAUGAGAACUGGGACAGUCGGACAGAAAAGUAUUGCUCAUGCAGCCCCUGCCUGACAGCCAGCCACCUCCAGACCCAGGCCAGGGACCCACACUCCAGCCAGCAGAAAGCCAGAGAGAGAACACUCCCACCAGAUCCAUGCUAUGCUGUUGGGACACAAUAAGACAGAAGAAUAAUUUUGUUGGACUUUUAAGAAAUUGGUGACCCACAGCAAAACUGGUCCAAACAGCUGCUGGAAUCCAGUGAGAACCGUAAGCUCACCCACAUGUGAGGCUGGGUGAAGCUGUAGGCUGCUGGGACCUGUGGCUGUGCUCUUCGCUGUGACCAUCCUUCUACAACAAAUGACAGAAAAGACAGAGGAGAGCAAUGGCUGUCCCUGGGAGGAAAGGACCCAACACAUGAGUGCUGAAAACCACGUUCACAAGAGUUACCCAAAGAACGAGCCCUUCCAAAGGUGUUUUUCUACUAAAUCAUAUUUGGAUUAUUUUGAGCUGAAGGUAAUGGAGGAUCCACAGAUGCCUAAAGAGUUCUCUGUCCUCUCAUUUUCUGCCUGAAAUCAGAUCAUAAAUGUCUCUUUGUGAAGGUGGCAUAAAGUAUCUCAAGCAGGUAUCCCCCUCACCCCCACCAAUGAGAGAGUGACUCUUAUCACCAGAGUCAGCACCAAGAUGAGUCUCCAUAAACCAGCCUUUCUGCGAUAGUCUUGUCUUCAUCACCUUCCCGAAAUUCUCCCCAGUCACUUCCCAGUGCCUUAUCUUCCCUCAAGGUCAAACCCUCUUCUUUGUUAAAGUUACCAGCCCCUGAGUCUCACUGCUUCUUUGAAUUCCACUUCUUUUCUGUGAAUUCCUAUGCACAUAAAGACUAAUAAAAAAUGUAUACCUUUUCUCUUACAAUUUUUUUUCAGUGUAAUUUGUGGGUCCCCAUUAACUGAACCUAAGAUGGUAGAGGAAACAUUUUUCCUCACCACCAAUACAUCUCUCACUUAAUCUUUAACCUAUGAAUAGGUACCAAGAUUUCACUGAUGAGGAAACUGAGGCACAGAUAAUGUAAAAAUCCUGUCUGAGGUCUCACACAGCUAGUAACCGAUGUAGUUGGGACAUAUUAAAUAAAAGGUGAUUAGUGUUUGGAAAACUCUGCCCCUACCGCAAAAUCUCUCUUUCCCUCCCCCACAAAGAGGCUCCCUUAUCUCUCACUUUACAUACCGGCCCUAGCCCUCCCGCCGCCCAGCUUCCCGCCCAGCAGUUCAAACUGACCAACAGUUGCCCACCACCUCGGCUUUUGGCUUCCCCACCCCCCAGCCCUUCAGCCCCCUAUAAAACAACCCUGCCCCUCUGAGCGGCGCGGCCAUUUUUCCUUUUCGUCCCGGCUGGCCUGGCCGGAGGCUCUUUCCUCUCAAUAAAGCCUGAACUUAAGGAAUUUCCUCUAGCCUGCGGUCCGGUUUUUUCCAAACGAGCUCAGUCUUCCCGCAGAGGGUAGGUCGGACAAUUAGCACAUUCAGCCAAGUCAAGUUAAAUUAAGAUUUUUCCUAGCGUUCUGGGAAGAUUUUGAAAAUAAAGCCAUGGCCUCCCAUGUUCAAGCAACUUAACCUCAGGAUCCUAGGAGAGUAGCUGGAACUACAGGCACGCGCCACCACGCCCAGCUAAUUUUUGUAGUUUUAGUAGAGACGGCGGUUUCACAAUGUUCACCAGGCUGGUCUUGAACUCCUGACUUCAGCUGAUCUGCCUGCCUCUGCCUCCCAAAGUGUUGGGAUUACAGGUGUGAGCCACCGUGCCCGGCCUAUCAUUGCAUUAUUUAAGCAUCUUUUUAUUUUGAUAAAAUGUAAAUGUGUCAAACCCUGAUGCAUUCAAUAACUCCGCCCCUGAAUCCUGUUCCAAUUAAUAAAAUAAAUCCUCUUCUCAAAAACUUGAUUAAACUCCGGAUGAACUAGUUUUCUACUUUUCUUAUCAGGCUUAAAUUUUUACUGCAUAUCCCCACUUUAACCAUGGCCCGAGUUGGUUUUUUUGGUUAUGCACUUACAGUGCGUCACAAUGCAGGGAAUAACGGCAUGUGCUCUGUCACAGCCUCUGCUGUCCUGCGCCCCUGCCGUCACGGAUACAGCCGAGCCCCACGGUUAAGUUCCACCCAGAACAGGGACAAACGACCUCGCCAAGGGCACAGGACGAGCCCCAGCCCAAAUCUUUUCGGAGGGCGCCGCCGGGAUGGGGUCGGGGGGCCGUCUGCGGCGUCCCGCGCCGCGCAGUUAGCACAGACAGCAGGGGGCGCGCUGCCCUUGGCAAAUGAAGCGCCCUAGGCCCGGCGCCCAGCGACCACCUGCGCGGCGUGGGGCGGGUACCGGGUUGAGGCGGCGCGGAGUCGUGGAUUGCGGAGACAACCCCCAGCGAUGGCUUGUCCCAGCGAGGCUGCUUCGGCCAGGGCCCGGUGAGGCUGUUCCCGUUGUGCUGUCAUCUCGCAGUCCAGAGCUCCCUGACAGUGAGGAGAAAGCCCUGGCUCCCAGGGUGGGUCCACUUGGUCCCGUGAACGUGGCCGUCACCCCCGUCAGUGACCGGGUCAGAGAGCGCGGGUCGCCGGAGCGCAGUGGGGGCGCUCAGGGACUGCGCGGGGCACUGCGUCGUCCCCGACAGCGGCGCCAAUCCGCGGCGCCCCAGCCCCUCUAUCCAGCCCCAGCCCUGCCUGCUCCUGGCCGCGGGGACUCAGGAUGGGCGGCUUGGGGUCGACCGGGGGCCUUGGAGACGUGAACGAGGUGAUAGGGACGCUGGGGCCACCUGCCUCUAGCACCGCGGUGACCGAGUGCCCUCGUGAUUUGAAGAAGAGGGAGACAGAGUCGGAGCCCAAAGCAUCUAAAGACCGCGCUCGUGGAUCGAAGCCACAGGGAGGAGAUGAUGAGGCGGCACUCGUGUCUAAAAGAGCCUUCCUUCUACGCUUGCGAGGACGCGCCUUGCAGCGGUCCACCCGGAAGCUGCAGUACAGAACCCAGUCCCCCUAAUUCCUCUUCCUCAGGAGCCCUUACAGCGUCCACACAGCAGGCAGCUGGGGAGGGAGGAGCCAACUCAUACCGCCACGUGUGGAGGCCGCCCAGUCUGGAAGCCUCAUUCCAAGCAGGAACCAGUCUCUCCAGGAGUUACCACACCCAAGGAAGCCCAUAGAAUAGCUCCCUUCCAUUACUUAGUGAUGGCUCCUCCCAAAUCAGCUUCCCCUGCCAGGCAGAAGCUGUUUCACCAUAGGCACUAUUGCCUAGUAGGCGGCUGGCACAUUCCACCUUCCCCUUAUGCCAGGAAGGCAGGUAGGAGGCCAACUGCAUUCAGUUCAAAUAAUGCAAAAAGGGAAACAUUGUUAAAAUUUUGCACAUGAAUAUUGAUUUUAUUAAAAUCUAGAGAUUUUUUUUUUUUUUUGAGAUGGAGUUUCACUCUUGUGGCCCGGACCAGAGUGCAGUGGGGUGAUCUUGGCUCACUGCAACCUCCACCUCCUGGGUCAAGCAAUUCUCCUGCCUCAGCCUCCCAAGUAGCUGGGAUUACAGGUGUGUGCCCCCACGUCAGGCUGGUCUCGAACUGCUGACCUCAGGUGACCACCUUGGCCUCCCAAAGUGCUGAAAUUACAGGCGUGAGCCACCGUGCCUGGCCUAAAAUCUGGAGAUAUCAAACCUAAUUGUAUCUAUAUUCCCUUCUUUUACAAACUGGAAAAAAGAAACCAAAAAAAAAAAGUUUACAGAACAUGAAACCAGACAUAUUUCAAUGGCAAUACAUGUUAAGGGCUUUAAUUCAAUUCCUGCUGUUGAAACCCAAAAACAAAAGCUUCGUGAAAGCUGCUGCUAACAAAAUGGAGCCGCUUGUAUCAAACUCCAGCAAAAUGGAUUGGGGCGAAGGCCAUGAAGAAGCCCUCACACCCACAUGCCUGAAACAGGACUUAUCCCAAGACAUUCCUGCAGGUAGACCAGCAUCAGGAUUUAUUGCAAGGACUUCUCAAGGAAGCGGUAUUCCAGAUCCACCACCAGCAUGCCACACUGACCUGGCAACAGCUGCCUCCACCGACACACAGAGCCAAUUCCUGCAGUGAGCUCUGUCACCUAGGAGGCUUGUUUCAAAGCAGCUCGUGUGCACAUCUAUUUGUCUUUAAAAGAUUCUUCUUUGGCUGGGUGCGGUGGCUUAUGCCUGUAAUCCCAGCAUUUUGGGAGGCCAUGGUGAGUAGAUAGUUUGAGGUCAGGAGUUUGAAACCAGCCUGAUCAACAUGACAAAAUCCAUCUUUACUAAAAAUACAAAAAUUAGCCAGGCACGAGAAUCACUUGAACCCAGGAGGCGGAGGUUGCAGUGAGCCGGGAGCACACCAACUGCACUCCAGCUUGGGUGACAGAGCAAGACUCCGUCUCAAAAAAAGAAAAAUAUUCUUCUUUGCCGUGACAUCCCUGGUUGUACCCUGAUCCAUCAUCAUAGCACACAUCCCGAACUGCAAUCCCUUGCCUAGUCCAAAACGAGCCCAUUUAUUCUGGAGAUCCCUAUCUGAGCUUUUUAGGCUGAUGCCUGUACACUUGCUACAUGUGGUAACUCUCAGUUACUAAUAUCUCAGAAAAACUCUUCUCCAAGCCAAGGAGGCUAGCAGACUUGGCUCUCUAUGCCCAGGCAGGCUUGCCACGUGGGAGAGGCUGGGAGCUACCACCCUGUCAAAGGCAGAGGCCUUGGGACAACAUGGUGGCAUUCCAGACUUACAGGUGGGGAACCAAUAACUUCACAGUACGGAAACUUCCAGUGGGCAGCAGUUGCAGGCCAUUCUGACCCUUUCUGAGAUGGCUUUUGGGGAACGUGGUCCAGGUGGUGAAUUCAGGUCUGAGGACUGAGGCCAUUCUUGGGCAGGGGCAGGAGAUGGAGGAUCCCCAGCCAUCUGGACCUAAGCAGUGGAUAUAAGGUGGCACACCAUCCAACCUGAGCAACUCAUGUCCCUGCACACUGGCUUCUUCCCUCAAGGUUGGCAGAGGAUUCCCUGUCCAAUGCCAUAACUUUUCUAGUGUUGGAUGUACUAGACAUGCCUACACUCUACCACAAGCUAGUGGCUGGUGGGACCUGGAGGUCAGAAGGUUGGGCCACAUGAUUCCUAAGGGACACCCCCUUCUGAUAUUCCAUUAUUCAGUACAAGAAGCCCACAGGGAACUGCCAAAGCCCUUCAAAUUAUUUUCUGCAUAGACAUAUCAGAUCAUUCUACUGAAGGGCAACCCUUGUGGCAUGACUGACAACCAUGACAUUCUCACUGAAUGAGCUACACCUGCCACCUGAGGGCUUCUUCUCUCACUUGACGAUGGUUAGAACCGGCUCUCCAGUAGAAGGACUGACACAGUAUCACAAGUAUCCUCCCUGUGUUUCCAGCACAAAGUUUAGACUGCUCCGUGUGGUGCCCAAGGCCUUGAGUUGGCCCAUGUGUUCUUUGAUUUUUGGUGUUUGUUUUUUUUUUUUUGAGACAGAUUUUUGCUCUUGUUGCCCAUGCUGGAGUGCAGUGGCACGAUCUCAACUCACCACAACCUCCGCCUCUUGGGUUCAAGUGAUUCUCUUGCCUCAACCUCCAAGUAGCUGAGAUCACAGGCAUGUUUUGUAUUUUUAGUAGAGACAGAGUUUCUCCAUGUUGGUCAGGCUGGUCUCGAACUCCCAACCUCAGGUAAUCUAUCCACCUCGGCCUCUUGAGAUUACAGGCAUGAGUCACCUUGCCCAGCGGCCCAUGUGUUUAAGCGUCACCUCCCCAAACCUCCAAGCAGCAAGAUGCCUCCUGCAGCCAUGCAGAACCAAAUGUGUUUACCCCACUGCAGCCCUCGCCAUUUCUCUCUGCCUCCACCUGAACGUCCUGUCCAGAUCCUUUUCCCCUCCCCACUCACAUCUCCAGUUGGCCUGUUCGGUGCUGUCAUGUGGAUGCUGCCAGCCUGCAGAGUCCAGGGGGUUCCUGGUGGGCAGGGCUCCUGUUUACCCAUGUGUCUGCUAAGAUGGAACACGUGACUAGUCACAAACUGAAACCUCUGCUCCAGGAGGCCCUCAUGAGAUGCCACACUCUAGGAAGCUGUGUGGCUACUUCUUGCUUAGGAACUUGGGUGCUGGAGUCACCCCUUAGGAUCUUCCCAUUUCCAGAGGCCAGCAGCAUUGUUCCCCUCUUCCUCCAACUUCAGGUUCAGAUUUAGGCCUCUGUCUAGUCCGGCUUAGUGAUGUUGGCCCUGCCCCACAGGUUCCGCACUCCUGGCUUUGAAGCUGGACUUCCAGAUUUUUGCAAUAGUCCCUUCUUUUCAUCCUCCAGGUCUUCAUCUUCCAUCUGUGUCACCUGUCUCACACUCACUGCUUUUUGGUUUUUUUUUCCUGAGACAGGGUCUCACUCUAUCACUCAGGCUGGAGGGCAGUGAUGCAAUCUUGAUUCAAGGCAACCCCCGCCUCCUGGGUUCAAGCCAUUCUCCCUCCUCAGCCACCUAAGUGGCUGGGAUUACAGGUGCACACCACCAUGCCUGGCUAUUUUUUUUUUCAUUUUUCUUUUUGAGACAGUUUCCUUCUGUCACCCAGGCUGGAGUGCAGCGGUCUGAUCUCAGCUGACUGCAACCUCCACCUCCUGGGUUCAAGUGAUUCUCGGGCCUCAAGCCUCCCAACUAGCUGGAAUUAGAGGCACGUGCCAUCAUAUCCAGCUAAUUUUUAUAUUUUUAGUAGAGAUAGGGUUUCAUCAUGUCAUCCAGGGUGGUCUCAAACUCCUGGCCUCAAGUGAUCCACCUGCCUCAGCCUCCCAAAGUGCUGGGAUAAUAGGCGUGGGCCACCACAACUGGCCAAGCCUUUUUCAACUCUUAAACUUCAGAAAAGAUAUCUGGCCAACCAGUUAAUAUCCUCAUUAGAAUUAUUCUUACAUACGAUUCUGCCUCCUAAAGAGAAACAAGUAAGGCCCAGUUUCUCCUCUUUAAACUGAUCACAGAUUGGUCAGUUAUGGUGAUUCAAUCUCAACAUUUUGGAAGGCUGAAUUUCGAGAAUCACUUGAGCCCAGGAGUUUGAGACCAGCCUGGGCAAUACAGUGAGACCACAUCUCUACCAAGAAAUUUUUAAAAAUUAGCCUGGCAUGGUGGUGAGUGCCUGUGGUCCCAACUCAGGAGGCUGAGGCAGGAGGAUCACUUAAGUUCUGAGGUCAAGGCUACAGUGAGCUGUGAUCACACCACUGCACUCCAAGCUGGGAGACAGAGCAAGACACCAACUCAAACAAAAACAAAAAAACUGAUCACAGAAACAACAGCUUUCAGAGGUUAGUUUACUUUUGUCUGUCCUGUGUCUUGGGUUCUGAGCAUCACAUCAUAAUCACUGGGGUCGCCUUCAGGGAGCUCAUAGAGGCAGUAAUCGGCACACAGUAGGCUUUGGGUUUCAUUCGCACAGCUUCCUGAGAGCCAUAGAUCCACAGCAGUGGAUGAGGGCCACGGUGUUGUUUGGGAAGCAGACGACACACUUAUAGAGGAAACAGAUACACAGAGUGCCAUUAUUUUGAUUUAUUGCAUUCUGAAGUACCCCGGGUGGAAGGGCCUGAGAACAGUCUGCUUUAUCAGCAGUCCUAAAGCCUUAUUACCUGAGAUUUAUAUUCUGAGGGGGAAAAGAAUCAAGAUUGGAUUAUCAAUACAUAUUUCACAGGAGAUUUGCGUUUUGACCCUGACAGAAGAACGCGUACUAACCUGAAAAAGGCUACAUGAGAUUAAAAAAAGAAACAGCUAAACACCAAAAAUCCUGGUGAGAGAGACAUGGAUUUAAAAGGCCAGCCACUCACUGUAGCGUGACAGCUCCCUCUGGGGUAGCCAGGAGCAGAGCAUGAGCCACUGGCA